rnacentral:rRNA from 1 species
GACAGAGGGUGCAAACGUUGCUCGGAGUUACUGGGCGUAAAGCGCGUGUAGGCGGUGCCGCACGUCCGGUGUGAAAGCCCGGGGCUCAACCCCGGAAGUGCACUGGAUACGACGGCGCUGGAGUCCUGAAGAGGAGGGCGGAAUUCCCGGUGUAGAGGUGAAAUUCGUAGAUAUCGGGAGGAACACCAGUGGCGAAGGCGGCUCUCUGGACAGGAACUGACGCUGAGACGCGAAAGCGUGGGUAGCAAACAGG